UAGCUGAAAUUUCCCUGACUUUUCUUUUCCUUUUCAUUUUAUUAGGUUAAUAAAACUUGGUUUUUGAGCAUUUCGCCACCCCAGGAGGGCCGUGGGCCCCCCGUCCAAUUCAUCAAGUGCCUAAUGAGCGGCCCCGGAGGUCCCGGGCCAUCCAUUCCAGAAGCUCUCUCUGCCUUGUAAAGGCUCUCUUGCCUUCUCCAGCUAGUCAGGAUGCUGCCAGCUCCGGGCAUGGGGCUGUGUCUGCCCCAACGUGGUGGAGAGCUGGAAUCUGAGCACUCGAGCUUGGGGACAGCUGCCCACCUUGAGCCCACAAGAGGAAGCAGCACGGGGAGGAGGUUAUGCUUGUGGGGGGUGCAGAACAAGGGAAAACAGAGAAGCCGGCUUGAACCAUCUCUCUUGCGAUGUGCCCUCUGCAUUAUCACCCACUGGCCCCGAUGCCAGCUGACAGACCUCAUCCAAACACUUGGCUGGGAUUUGGGGACUUCUUUUAACGCCUGCUAG
rnacentral:lncRNA from 1 species